rnacentral:rRNA from 1 species
GUCGAACGCUGGCGGCGUGCUUAACACAUGCAAGUCGAACGAAGUGGCGAACGGGUGAGUAACGCGUAAUAAACCUGCCCUUCAGAGGGGGACAACAGUUGGAAACGUCUGCUAAUACCGCAUACUGAAGGAGGGGAUGGCUUCGGAUUAGCUAGUUGGAGGGGUAACGGCCCACCAAGGCGAUGGUCAGUAGCCGGUCUGAGAGGAUGAACGGCCACAAUGGGAAUGGGACACGGCCCAGACUCCUACGGGAGGCAGCAGUGGGGAAUCUUCCGGAAUGGACGAAAGUCUGACGGAGCAACGCCGCGGGAGUGAUGACGGCCUUCGGGUUGUAAAGCUCUGUUAAUCGGGACGCGGUACCGGAAUAGAAAGCCACGGCUAACUACGUGCCAGCAGCCGCGGUAAUUC